rnacentral:misc_RNA from 1 species
GUGAGUUCAUUACAAGCCCAACAAGCAAAUAUAUACAGCAGAAGACUGUACAGAGCAAGAAUAUUCUCUGAUUGUGGUAUAAAUUACAGUAUCCUAAUAAAAGUCCCAUUUACUUCCUUCUGAGAUGAUAACAACGCCAAAAACUUACCUCUUAGACACUCUGAAAUUGCAAGAUAUGGGUUUUACAUUAAAUGUAAAGGCAGGUGUAAUGACGAGUCAAUUGCAUAAAUCAAGUAGGUUGAAUGAAAUUUCAAAAUUUAACGAGUUAUGAUUAUUUGAUUGUUAACGUUUAAAUGAGCUAAGUUCUCAAAGAAUGUAAAAAAUUGAUUUAUUUGGUUGGUACUAAGUAUUUACUGGAAAGUAAAAAUCCAUUUUUUUCUACUUCCCAUUAAGUACUCUAAGCUAAUUUACUUCCUAAGAAACAGGUUUUCAAAAGUGGUUCAUUUGAACCAAACAAGGCCUUAAUUUGAGGAUUGCAGAGGAGAUGAAAGAAAUGAGGACUCCAUCUUUGGCCAAAUGAUAUCCAAACAGAAAUGAUAUGAAUCUGCAUUCCAUUAUUCCCACACUUCCAUUUAUGAUAUAAUGGCAUGGCCACCCUUCCUUCUACAAGGAUCAAUCGCUGCCACCAUCCUUGCAACCUUCGUGCACAUUGAACUUGGCUAGUUUAGAUGUUCCAGCGAUUUGCAGUUCAGUGGGAUCAUUUGGAAGGAAAAUUAUGCGACCUCUAGAGUCUGGAGCGCUGCAAUGCUGAAUCAGAAUAGGUGUUUCCCCAAAAACUUACAAUAACUCAUGAAACCAAGCUACUUGAUUAAUUUGUUGAGUGGCACUCCAUGAAAUAGAUGAUGGAUUUUAAGGGACUUGAGCAACCAAGUGUUGUGGAGAGGUCACAUGCAUAAUCUAUGAUUGUUGCCAUUUGGAAAUGAA